rnacentral:rRNA from 1 species
UGCCAGCAGCCGCGGUAACACGGGGGGCGCAAGCGUUAUUCGGAAUUAUUGGGCGUAAAGGGCGCGCAGGCGGUCUUGUCCGUCAGGUGUGAAAGCUCGGGGCUCAACCCCGGAAGUGCACUUGAAACAGCAAGACUUGAAUACUGGAGAGGAAAGCGGAAUUCCUGGUGUAGAGGUGAAAUUCGUAGAUAUCAGGAGGAACACCGAUGGCGAAGGCAGCUAUCUGGCCUGACAUUGACGCUGAGGUACGAAAGCGUGGGGAGCAAACAGGAUUAGAUA